UACAGAGGUCUCAAGCGUUGUUCGGAUUCAUUGGGCGUAAAGGGUGUGUAGGUGGCGCCGUAAUGUCGGGUGUGAAAUUUCGGAGCUUAACUCCGAAACUGCAUUCGAUACUGCGGUGCUUGAGGACUGGAGAGGAGACUGGAAUUCAUGGUGUAGCAGUGAAAUGCGUAGAGAUCAUGAGGAAGACCAGUGGCGAAGGCGGGUCUCUGGACAGUUCCUGACACUGAGACACGAAGGCCAGGGGAGCAAACGGG
rnacentral:rRNA from 1 species